GCGACAGUGGGAGCACCGAUCCAGCACGUGAGCAGCAGACUCUUAAUCUGCGGGUUCGGGGUUCAAGUCCCUGACGGCGCA
rnacentral:tRNA from 1 species